AUUGAACGCUGGCGGCAGGCCUAACACAUGCAAGUCGAACGAGUGGCGGACGGGUGAGUAAUGUCUGGGAAACUGCCCGAUGGAGGGGGAUAACUACUGGAAACGGUAGCUCAUACCGCAUACCAUCGGAUGUGCCCAGAUGGGAUUAGCUAUUAGGUGGGGUAAUGGCUCACCUAGGCGACGAUCCCUAGCUGGUCUGAGAGGAUGACCAGCCACACGGGAACGGAGAAACGGUCCAGACUCAUACGGGAGGGAGCAGUGGGGAAUAGUGGACAAUGGGCGCAAUCCUGAGGCAGCCAUGCGGCGUGUAUGAAGAAGGCCUUCGGGUUGUAAAGUACGUUCAGCGAGGAGGCGUUACUCGCAGAAGAAGCACCGGCUAACGCCGUGCCAGCAGCCGCGGUAAUAC
rnacentral:rRNA from 1 species